rnacentral:rRNA from 1 species
GGACCCGCACAAGUAGCGGAGCAUGUGGUUUAAUUCGAAGCAACGCGAAGAACCUUACCUAAGCUUGACAUCCCAAUGACAUCUCCUUAAUCGGAGAGUUCCCUUCGGGGACAUUGGUGACAGGUGGGGCAUGGUUGUCGUCAGCUCGUGUCGUGAGAUGUUGGGUUAAGUCCCGCAACGAGCGCAACCCUUGUCUUUAGUUGCCA